rfam:[Clostridium] clariflavum DSM 19732 chromosome, complete genome.
GGGCCUUUAGCUCAGUUGGUUAGAGCAACCGGCUCAUAACCGGUUGGUCCGGGGUUCGAGUCCCUGAAGGCCCA